AUUUCACAAAGAACUUUACUUUUGAGCAGAGUGUACCAGGUGGUAAGUUGGGGAAUGACAGAGAAGAGGAAUGUUGUGUGAAGUUAGCAGCAGGGCGUGCGUGGUUUGGUGUGGCUGAAGAAAGGGGCACAUUUUCUUGGAGUAUAGAGUACAAGUCAGAGAAGAUAACGUUGAAAGAUGUACACAAAGGCCUCUUUCUUGUGGUAUGGUCUGUUUAAAAAAAUUCUUUCUAAUUGUUUAUUGUUUUAAAAGAAAAGCAGAGAAAUGAAUCUAGAAGGAACGAAUCUAGACAAACUUCCAAUGGCCUCAACAAUCACAAAAAUACCCAGUCCAUUAAUAACUGAGGAAGGACCCAACUUGCCAGAAAUCAGACACAGAGGCCGGUUUGCUGUGGAGUUUAACAAAAUGCAGGAUCUUAUCUUCAAAAAACCUACAAGGCAGACCAUCAUGACUACGGAGACACUGAAGAAAAUUCAGAUUGAUAGGCAGUUUUUCAGCGAUGUGAUUGCAGAUACCAUUAAGGAGUUGCAAGAUUCGGCCACUUACAACAGUCUCCUGCAAGCUUUGAGCAAAGAGAGGGAAAACAAAAUGCAUUUCUAUGACGUCAUCGCCAGGGAGGAAAAAGGAAGAAAACAGAUAAUAUCACUUCAAAAACAGCUAAUUAAUGUCAAAAAGGAAUGGCAAUUUGAAGUCCAGAGUCAGAAUGAGUAUAUUGCUAACCUCAAGGACCAACUGCAAGAGAUGAAGGCAAAAUCCAACUUGGAGAAUCGCUACAUGAAAACCAAUACCGAGCUGCAGAUUGCCCAGACCCAGAAAAAGUGUAACAGAACAGAGGAACUCUUGCUGGAAGAGAUUGAGAAACUAAGGAUGAAAACCGAAGAAGAGGCCCGGAUUCAUACGGAGAUUGAAAUGUUCCUUAGAAAGGAGCAGCAGAAACUUGAGGAGAGGCUAGAGUUCUGGAUGGAGAAAUAUGAUAAGGACACAGAAAUGAAACAGAAUGAACUAAAUGCUCUCAAAGCCGCAAAGGCCAGUGACUUAGCACACCUUCAAGACCUGGCAAAGAUGAUAAGAGAGUAUGAACAGGUCAUCAUUGAAGAUCGUAUAGAAAAGGAGAGGAGCAAGAAGAAGGUAGAACAGGAUCUCUUGGAAUUAAAGAGUGUUAUAAAGCUCCAGGCCUGGUGGCGAGGCACUAUGAUACGGAGAGAAAUUGGUGGUUUCAAGAUGCCUAAAGACAAAGUUGAUAGCAAGGAUUCAAAAGGCAAAGGUAAAGGCAAGGAUAAGAGGAGAGGCAAGAAGAAGUGACCAAGUUCUCUUCUGUGUUUUCCGCUGGUAUUCUGGAGGGGGAAGGACUUGGAGAGAGUUAAGAAACACCUGGUACCUCAAAGAUGACUCAUCUACAGGUUGUUUCCUAUUGAGACUUUCCCAGGGAAGCCUGAUUUCACUCGGGCUGUUAAUUUCACUCGGGCUGUUAAUUUCACUUGGCCUGUUAAUUUCACUCUGCCUGUUAGGUGGGUUUUCAAACCCUGAUUUAGGAUUAUACCAUUGACUUAGGGCUUCCUCAUACCUUUUUGGGAAGAAGUUUCUGGUAGUCCUGUGAAGAUUCAUUCUUCUUGCUCUUUCUCAGCAGAACAAAGGAGUUCAUUGGCUUAGUUACAGUGAUGCAUUAAAACUUCAGUAAUUCCUGUAAUGUCUGAUUCUGAUUUUACCCAAUUUGUCUGUAGUGAAAAAACUCUUAUGAGCAAAAGUAUUCAGUAGGAAUUACAAUAUGAUGUUACUAGCUGUCCAGCAUAAUAUAUACACAGCAAAGUUUUAAUAAAUGUUGGUUCCUGCCUGCCUUUU
rnacentral:sRNA from 1 species